rnacentral:rRNA from 1 species
AGCGGCGGAUGGGUGAGUAACACGUGGGGAACCUGCCCCUAAGUCUGGGAUACCAUUUGGAAACAGGUGCUAAUACCGGAUAAUAAAGCAGAUCGCAUGAUCAGCUUUUGAAAGGCGGCGUAAGCUGUCGCUAAGGGAUGGCCCCGCGGUGCAUUAGCUAGUUGGUAAGGUAACGGCUUACCAAGGCGACGAUGCAUAGCCGAGUUGAGAGACUGAUCGGCCACAUUGGGACUGAGACACGGCCCAAACUCCUACGGGAGGCAGCAGUAGGGAAUCUUCCACAAUGGACGCAGGUCUGAUGGAGCAACGCCGCGUGAGUGAAGAAGGUUUUCGGAUCGUAAAGCUCUGUUGUUGGUGAAGAAGGAUAGAGGUAGUAACUGGCCUUUAUUUGACGGUAAUCAACCAGAAAGUCACGGCUAACUACGUGCCAGCAGCCGCGGUAAUACGUAGGUGGCAAGCGUUGUCCGGAUUUAUUGGGCGUAAAGCGAGCGCAGGCGGAAAAAUAAGUCUAAUGUGAAAGCCCUCGGCUUAACCGAGGAACUGCAUCGGAAACUGUUUUUCUUGAGUGCAGAAGAGGAGAGUGGAACUCCAUGUGUAGCGGUGGAAUGCGUAGAUAUAUGGAAGAACACCAGUGGCGAACGCGGCUCUCUGGUCUGCAACUGACGCUGAGGCUCGAAAGCAUGGGUAGCGAACAGGAUUAGAUACCCUGGUAGUCCAUGCCGUAAACGAUGAGUGCUAAGUGU